AUUGAACGCUGGCGGCAGGCCUAACACAUGCAAGUCGAACGAGUGGCGGACGGGUGAUUAAUGACUGGGAAAAUGCCUGAUGGAGGGGGAUAAAUACUGGACACGGUAGCUAAUAACGUAUUCCAUCAGAUGUGCACAUGUGGGAUUAGCUUGUUGGGGGGGUAACGGCUCACCAAGGCGACGAUCCCUACGUGGUCUGAGAGGAUGACCAGCCACACUGGAACUGAGACACGGUCCAGACUCCUACGGGAGGCAGCAGUGGGGAAUAUUGCACAAUGGGCGCAAGCCUGAUGCAGCCAUGCCGCGUGUAUGAAGAAGGCCUUCGGGUUGUAAAGUACUUUCAGCGGGGAGGCGUUACCCGCAGAAGAAGCACCGGCUAACUCCGUGCCAGCAGCCGCGGUAAUUC
rnacentral:rRNA from 1 species